rnacentral:rRNA from 1 species
ACGAACGCUGGCGGCGUGCUUAACACAUGCAAGUCGAACGGAAAGGCCCUGCUUUUGUGGGGUGCUCGAGUGGCGAACGGGUGAGUAACACGUGAGUAACCUGCCCUUGACUUUGGGAUAACUUCAGGAAACUGGGGCUAAUACCGGAUAGGAGCUCCUGCUGCAUGGUGGGGGUUGGAAAGUUUCGGCGGUUGGGGAUGGACUCGCGGCUUAUCAGCUUGUUGGUGGGGUAGUGGCUUACCAAGGCUUUGACGGGUAGCCGGCCUGAGACGGUGACCGGCCACAUUGGGACUGAGAUACGGCCCAGACUCCUACGGGAGGCAGCAGUGGGGAAUAUUGCACAAUGGGCGGAAGCCUGAUGCAGCAACGCCGCGUGCGGGAUGACGGCCUUCGGGUUGUAAACCGCUUUCGCCUGUGACGAAGCGUGAGUGACGGUAAUGGGUAAAGAAGCACCGGCUAACUACGUG